rnacentral:rRNA from 1 species
GACGAACGCUGGCGGCGUGCUUAACACAUGCAAGUCGAACGGAAAGGCCCUGCUUUUGUGGGGUGCUCGAGUGGCGAACGGGUGAGUAACACGUGAGUAACCUGCCCUUGACUUUGGGAUAACUUCAGGAAACUGGGGCUAAUACCGGAUAGGAGCUCCUGCUGCAUGGUGGGGGUGGGAAAGUUUCGGCGGUUGGGGAUGGACUCGCGGCUUCUCAGCUUGUUGGUGGGGUAGUGGCUUACCAAGGCUUUGACGGGUAGCCGGCCUGCGAGGGUGACCGGCCACAUUGGGACUGGGAUACGGCCCAGAGUCGUACGGGAGGCAACAGUGGGGAAUAUUGCAGAAUGGGGGGAAGCCUGAUGCAGCAACGCCGCGUGCGGGAUGACGGCCUUCGGGUUGUAAACCGCUUUCGCCUGUGACGAAGCGUGAGUGACGGUAAUGGGUAAAGAAGCACCGGCUAACUACGUG